CGUAUCACCCAAGACAACUUUACGGAGUUGACGAUUGACGGAGCGAAGCGACGUCAAAGCGUUCAUUAAAGUCGAGUUGGCUUAGGGAUACGUUCGUUGGGUAGGGGAGCGUUCUGUAAGCCUGUGAAGGUGUGUCGUGAGGCAUGCUGGAGGUAUCAGAAGUGCGAAUGCUGACAUAAGUAACGAUAAAGCGGGUGAAAAGCCCGCUCGCCGGAAGACCAAGGGUUCCUGUCCAACGUUAAUCGGGGCAGGGUGAGUCGACCCCUAAGGCGAGGCCGAAAGGCGUAGUCGAUGGGAAACGGGUUAAUAUUCCCGUACUUGGUGUUACUGCGAAGGGGGGACGGAGAAGGCUAUGUUGGCCGGGCGACGGUUGUCCCGGUUUAAGCGUGUAGGUGUGUGUUCCAGGUAAAUCCGGUUCACUUUAACACUGAGGCGUGAUGACGAGGCACUACGGUGCUGAAGCAACAAAUGCCCUGCUUCCAGGAAAAGCCUCUAAGCAUCAGGUA
rnacentral:rRNA from 1 species